rnacentral:rRNA from 1 species
CCACUGGGAUACCUUAGUACGGCGAGUGAAGCGGUAAAAGCUCAAAUUUGAAAUCUGGUACUUUCAGUGCCCGAGUUGUAAUUUGUAGAAUUUGUCUUUGAUUAGGUCCUUGUCUAUGUUCCUUGGAACAGGACGUCAUAGAGGGUGAGAAUCCCGUUUGGCGAGGAUACCUUUUCUCUGUAAGACUUUUUCGAAGAGUCGAGUUGUUUGGGAAUGCAGCUCAAAGUGGGUGGUAAAUUCCAUCUAAAGCUAAAUAUUGGCGAGAGACCGAUAGCGAACAAGUACAGUGAUGGAAAGAUGAAAAGAACUUUGAAAAGAGAGUGAAAAAGUACGUGAAAUUGUUGAAAGGGAAGGGCAUUUGAUCAGACAUGGUGUUUUUUGCAUGCACUCGCCUCUCGUGGGCUUGGGCCUCUCAAAAAUUUCACUGGGCCAACAUCAAUUCUGGCAGCAGGAUAAAUCAUUAAGAAUGUAGCUACUUCGGUAGUGUUAUAGCUUUUUGGAAUACUGUUAGCCGGGAUUGAGGACUGCGCUUCGGCAAGGAUGUUGGCAUAAUGGUUAAAUGCCGCCCGUCUUGAACC